AGCUCGCGGUCCUGGCGCGCGGGCCGCCUCCCCCACAUUCCUGCCGCCGUGGGAAGGGCGGCCCCCUCCCUUUGUAUCCCGCUCCCGCCCGCGCACGCCUGCCCACGGAGGACGGGCUCUGCGGACCACAAAGCGGAGACAAUAAAUCGUGCGCGGGCUGGGCAGGGGAAUAGCACAAGGGCAUGAUUUUUGGUUUUCUUUUUCUUUUUUAAAUCCUGGAGCAACCCAUUGAUGGAAUUUAGGAACCUAAAAUUGCCUUCAAUAGCAAGGUACAUGGGAUUUACAGACGUUUGUUAAAAAAAAAAAAGAAAGAAAAAUGUGUGUUGCUUGGAAAACACAAUCCUAAAUUGAUUGUAUCCCCUUAUUCAUCCAGUUGUAGGAAAGAAGAACGUCUGCCCUCUAGCCCAGGCUUUGUCUACGUUUUCUCUGCUACUGCCCAACACAGAGCUGCUACAUAAGGAGGCUUUUCAGCAGAGGAGCUGGGUGUUGAACCGGUGCCAUGGGGAAUGAAUUCUUCAAUAGACCCCUAGUCUUUCUCAAAGUUAAAGAGGGGUGACUUGCAGGAAAACAUAUGUGUGUAAAUGCAUUUUCAUGUUCUAGCACUCUGUUCCUUUGUGUCUCUAAGUUCCUGUGCUUCUGUAUAGACUGGGGGUUGUUUUUUGUUUGUUUGUUUUUGUGUGUGUGUGUGUGUGUGUGUGUGUGUGUGUGUGUGUUUUAAGCAGUUCAGGACCCUAGCUGGCUCUGCAACACAGUGCCCACCACUGCCACAGUGUAAACUGAUUUUAACAGAAAGCACUUUAUUCCUGACUAGGAACAAUGACUGGCUCUUACAGAAUUAGUUUGCAAAGCUAGGCAAACUACUCAUGUCCACAGUGCUGCAUUGCUAAAGAGAAAUUUUUUCAGUGUGCUAGAAAGCAAGUGUGGGCUUUCCUUAGUGUUAUUUUUUUGCUGGGUGAUAUGUGGGAAGCCUACCAUACAAUAGAAGGCUCUAAAUCAGUUAUUGUGUUUUUUUUCACUCACUCAAAAGCUACAUCUGCAUCAUGUGUGUGAGGUGAACAAGUUCCCAAACUAUAACUCAUAGUUAGUCCCAGCCAACAUUAGCUUAUUGACAGAGGCUUAAAAGCAACUUGAAACCUACAAAAUGUCUAUGAUUUCUUAAAUCAUGAAGACUCAGGAGUAACAUGUAUUUUAGCCAUGAAAAUUUUCAGGCUGACCUGUUCUUCUACUACUUGUCAUUGUUCAGGACACUAGGAUAGGCUGGGUGUGGUGACAUGCCUGUGUUCUCAGCUCUUGAAAGGUGGAGGCAGCAGGAUCAGACGUUCAAGGUCAUCCUCCAUUACAUAAUGAGUUCCAGGCCAGCUUGAGCUACAUAAGACCCUGUCUCAAAAAAAGAGAGAGAGGGAGACACCAAGAUAAUUGUCAUAUAUUAGAAUAAAAAGAUAUAGCCAGUCAUGGUGGAACUCAUCUAUAAUCGCAACAUUGGAUUGGAGGGUGGGGCUGAGGCAGGAACAGGGAAAGCUUCAGGCCAGCCUUAGCCAACCUAGACCAGGCCUCAAAAGACAAAAGAAAAUUCUGGGCCCAUAGUUCAGUGGUAGAGCAUGUCCAUAGCAUGGACAUGAGGCCCUGGAUUCCAUCCCCAUUACCACAAACCAAAUAAUUGUGCUUAAUGAUAUUUGAGAAAAGCUAUGUAAAAGUAAAAUCCUGAUCCUUGGUUUUGUUGUUGUUGUUUUUCUUUUUAAGCAUGAUGCAUGAUGAUUGGGCAUUUGUGCUAUUAUUGUAUGGCAUGAUGUAGAAAGAAAAGAAGAAAAAGCCCCAAAUCCUAUGAGACUUACUAGUAACCACAUUGAUAGAGGAAUUGAGACUCAAGAUGAAGACUUGUGAUGCUAAGCAAACAGCACAUGGGUGAAGCUGAUAGCUGGGUCAUUUGUCAGUCUGUUUCCACAGAGACUUGUCGUCGGUGCCAUCCUGAGAGCCCUGCCUCUGUGUGGAAGAGCCAGGUGCUCCCACCUGUCAGAACCGUUCCCUCUCUUGCUGGGUUUCCCAGCCUUGAUACCCCACUUUGAAAGCUGACUAAACAGCACUAGUUCUUCCCUUGAAGUCACCUUCCCAGUCUCCCUUAGCUCUCACACCUGGCCUUAAAGCCCUUCUUACUGAGGCUUUAGCUGCCCCUUUGAAUAUAGGCCUCUCUCUCUCUCUUAUUCAGUGCUGAGGACCAGACUCAGGGGCUUGUGUAGGGUGACAAGUGCUCUACCACUGUGGUAUAC